rnacentral:rRNA from 1 species
UACAGAGGUCUCAAGCGUUGUUCGGAUUCAUUGGGCGUAAAGGGUGUGUAGGUGGCGCCGUAAGUCGGGUGUGAAAUUUCGGAGCUUAACUCCGAAACUGCAUUCGAUACUGCGGUGCUUGAGGACUGGAGAGGAGACUGGAAUUCAUGGUGUAGCAGUGAAUGCGUAGAGAUCAUGAGGAAGACCAGUGGCGAAGGCGGUCUCUGGACAGUUUCCUGACACUGAGACACGAAGGCCAGGGAGCAAACGGG